GUGACCCUGCUCAGCCAUUUUGGAGAAAAGGGCGCGCUCCUCCGCCUACCUCUUGAGCGUGGAGGGUAGAUGCUUCAGGUGACCUUUUACGAGCGUGGCGUGUCCUGGAUGGCGGCCGCACACUUAGGAAGAACGGGCUUUGGGAGAGGACCGCUGGCCCGAGAGUGGAACCUUGCACGCACUGGGCGUUGAAGCAGUGCUUUCUGGAUUAAAUACGAAAUACUGAUGUCACAAGCUA
rnacentral:lncRNA from 10 species